rnacentral:rRNA from 1 species
AGUGAACGCUGGCGGUAGGCCUAACACAUGCAAGUCGAACGGCAGCACAGUAAGAGCUUGCUCUUACGGGUGGCGAGUGGCGGACGGGUGAGGAAUACAUCGGAAUCUACUUUUUCGUGGGGGAUAACGUAGGGAAACUUACGCUAAUACCGCAUACGACCUACGGGUGAAAGCAUGGGAUCUUCGGACCUUGCGCGAUUGAAUGAGCCGAUGUCGGAUUAGCUAGUUGGCGGGGUAAAGGCCCACCAAGGCGACGAUCCGUAGCUGGUCUGAGAGGAUGAUAAGCGACACUGGAACUGAGACACGGUCCAGACUCCUACGGGAGGCAGCAGUGGGGAAUAUUGGACAAUGGGCGCAAGCCUGAUCCAGCCAUACCGCGUGGGUGAAGAAGGCCUUCGGGUUGUAAAGCCCUUUUGUUGGGAAAGAAAAGCAGCAGGUUAAUACCCCGCUGUUCUGACGGUACCCAAAGAAUAAGCACCGGCUAACUUCGUG